rnacentral:rRNA from 1 species
UACAGAGGGUGCGAGCGUUGUCCGGAAUCACUGGGCGUAAAGGGCGCGUAGGCGGCCCGGUAAGGUUGCGGUGAAAGCCCGGGGCCUCAACCCCGGGGUCGGCCGUGGGCAACUGCUGGGCUGGAGCACAGUAGAGGCGGGUGGAAUUCCGGGUGUAGCGGUGGAAUGCGUAGAGAGUCCGGAAGAACACCGGGUGGCGAAGGCGGCCUGCUGGGCAGUAGCUGACGCUGAGGAGCGAAAGCGUGGGGAGCGAACAGG